CCUUUAGGUGGGGGAUAACGAGUGGAAACAUUCGCUAAAACCCCAUAUGCCCCAGGGUGAAAAAGAGGAAAUUAGUAAUACUGAAUAACCUCUGCCUGAAGAGAAGCUCGCGGCUGAUUAGCUAGUUGGUAGGGUAAUGGCUUACCAAGGCGACGAUCAGUAGCUGGUCUGAGAGGACGAUCAGCCACACUGGAACUGAGACACGGUCCAGACUCCUACGGGAGGCAGCAGUGAGGAAUUUUCUGCAAUGGGCGAAAGCCUGACAGAGCAAUACCGCGUGAGGGACGAAGACUUACUGAGUUGUAAACCUCGGUGCCUUAAGGAAGAAGAUCUGACGGUACUUAAGGUGGAAAGCAUCGGCUAACUCCGUGCCAGCAGCCGCGGUAAGACGGGGGAUGCAAGUGUUAUCCGGAAUCACUGGGCGUAAAGCGUCUGCAGGUGGUUUCCUAAGUCUACUGUUAAACCUUGAGGCUCAACCUCAAAUCUGCAGUAGAAACUAGGAGACUUGAGUAUAGUAGGGGUAGAGGGAAUUUCCAGUGGAGCGGUGAAAUGCGUAGAUAUUGGAAAGAACACCGAUGGCGAAGGCACUCUACUGGGCUAUUACUGACACUCAGAGACGAAAGCUAGGGGAGCAAAUGGGAUUAGAUACCC
rnacentral:rRNA from 1 species